rnacentral:rRNA from 1 species
UACACUCCUGCGGGAGGCAGCAGUGGGGAAUAUUGGACAAUGGGCGCAAGCCUGAUCCAGCCAUGCCGCGUGAGUGAUGAAGGCCCUAGGAUUGUAAAGCUCUUUCACCGGUGAAGAUAAUGACGGUAACCGGAGAAGAAGCCCCGGCUAACUUCGUGCCAGCAGCCGCGGUAAUACGAAGGGGGCUAGCGUUGUUCGGAUUUACUGGGCGUAAAGCGCACGUAGGCGGACUAUUAAGUCAGGGGUGAAAUCCCGGGGCUCAACCCCGGAACUGCCUUUGAUACUGGUAGUCUUGAGUUCGAGAGAGGUGAGUGGAAUUCCGAGUGUAGAGGUGAAAUUCGUAGAUAUUCGGAGGAACACCAGUGGCGAAGGCGGCUCACUGGCUCGAUACUGACGCUGAGGUGCGAAAGCGUGGGGAGCAAACAGGAUUAGAAACCCUGGUAGUCCCA